rnacentral:rRNA from 1 species
GGGUUGUGAGGUUAAGCGACUAAGCGUACACGGUGGAUGCCCUGGCAGUCAGAGGCGAUGAAGGACGUGCUAAUCUGCGAUAAGCGUCGGUAAGGUGAUAUGAACCGUUAUAACCGGCGAUUUCCGAAUGGGGAAACCCAGUGUGUUUCGACACACUAUCAUUAACUGAAUCCAUAGGUUAAUGAGGCGAACCGGGGGAACUGAAACAUCUAAGUACCCCGAGGAAAAGAAAUCAACCGAGAUUCCCCCAGUAGCGGCGAGCGAACGGGGAGCAGCCCAGAGCCUGAAUCAGUGUGUGUGUUAGUGGAAGCGUCUGGAAAGGCGCGCGAUACAGGGUGACAGCCCCGUACACAAAAAUGCACAUGCUGUGAGCUCGAUGAGUAGGGCGGGACACGUGGUAUCCUGUCUGAAUAUGGGGGGACCAUCCUCCAAGGCUAAAUACUCCUGACUGACCGAUAGUGAACCAGUACCGUGAGGGAAAGGCGAAAAGAACCCCGGCGAGGGGAGUGAAAAAGAACCUGAAACCGUGUACGUACAAGCAGUGGGAGCACGCUUAGGCGUGUGACUGCGUACCUUUUGUAUAAUGGGUCAGCGACUUAUAUUCUGUAGCAAGGUUAACCGAAUAGGGGAGCCGAAGGGAAACCGAGUCUUAACUGGGCGUUAAGUUGCAGGGUAUAGACCCGAAACCCGGUGAUCUAGCCAUGGGCAGGUUGAAGGUUGGGUAACACUAACUGGAGGACCGAACCGACUAAUGUUGAAAAAUUAGCGGAUGACUUGUGGCUGGGGGUGAAAGGCCAAUCAAACCGGGAGAUAGCUGGUUCUCCCCGAAAGCUAUUUAGGUAGCGCCUCGUGAAUUCAUCUCCGGGGGUAGAGCACUGUUUCGGCAAGGGGGUCAUCCCGACUUACCAACCCGAUGCAAACUGCGAAUACCGGAGAAUGUUAUCACGGGAGACACACGGCGGGUGCUAACGUCCGUCGUGAAGAGGGAAACAACCCAGACCGCCAGCUAAGGUCCCAAAGUCAUGGUUAAGUGGGAAACGAUGUGGGAAGGCCCAGACAGCCAGGAUGUUGGCUUAGAAGCAGCCAUCAUUUAAAGAAAGCGUAAUAGCUCACUGGUCGAGUCGGCCUGCGCGGAAGAUGUAACGGGGCUAAACCAUGCACCGAAGCUGCGGCAGCGACGCUUAUGCGUUGUUGGGUAGGGGAGCGUUCUGUAAGCCUGUGAAGGUGUGCUGUGAGGCAUGCUGGAGGUAUCAGAAGUGCGAAUGCUGACAUAAGUAACGAUAAAGCGGGUGAAAAGCCCGCUCGCCGGAAGACCAAGGGUUCCUGUCCAACGUUAAUCGGGGCAGGGUGAGUCGACCCCUAAGGCGAGGCCGAAAGGCGUAGUCGAUGGGAAACAGGUUAAUAUUCCUGUACUUGGUGUUACUGCGAAGGGGGGACGGAGAAGGCUAUGUUGGCCGGGCGACGGUUGUCCCGGUUUAAGCGUGUAGGCUGGUUUUCCAGGCAAAUCCGGAAAAUCAAGGCUGAGGCGUGAUGACGAGGCACUACGGUGCUGAAGCAACAAAUGCCCUGCUUCCAGGAAAAGCCUCUAAGCAUCAGGUAACAUCAAAUCGUACCCCAAACCGACACAGGUGGUCAGGUAGAGAAUACCAAGGCGCUUGAGAGAACUCGGGUGAAGGAACUAGGCAAAAUGGUGCCGUAACUUCGGGAGAAGGCACGCUGAUAUGUAGGUGAAGCGACUUGCUCGUGGAGCUGAAAUCAGUCGAAGAUACCAGCUGGCUGCAACUGUUUAUUAAAAACACAGCACUGUGCAAACACGAAAGUGGACGUAUACGGUGUGACGCCUGCCCGGUGCCGGAAGGUUAAUUGAUGGGGUCAGCGCAAGCGAAGCUCUUGAUCGAAGCCCCGGUAAACGGCGGCCGUAACUAUAACGGUCCUAAGGUAGCGAAAUUCCUUGUCGGGUAAGUUCCGACCUGCACGAAUGGCGUAAUGAUGGCCAGGCUGUCUCCACCCGAGACUCAGUGAAAUUGAACUCGCUGUGAAGAUGCAGUGUACCCGCGGCAAGACGGAAAGACCCCGUGAACCUUUACUAUAGCUUGACACUGAACAUUGAGCCUUGAUGUGUAGGAUAGGUGGGAGGCUUUGAAGUGUGGACGCCAGUCUGCAUGGAGCCGACCUUGAAAUACCACCCUUUAAUGUUUGAUGUUCUAACGUUGACCCGUAAUCCGGGUUGCGGACAGUGUCUGGUGGGUAGUUUGACUGGGGCGGUCUCCUCCUAAAGAGUAACGGAGGAGCACGAAGGUUGGCUAAUCCUGGUCGGACAUCAGGAGGUUAGUGCAAUGGCAUAAGCCAGCUUGACUGCGAGCGUGACGGCGCGAGCAGGUGCGAAAGCAGGUCAUAGUGAUCCGGUGGUUCUGAAUGGAAGGGCCAUCGCUCAACGGAUAAAAGGUACUCCGGGGAUAACAGGCUGAUACCGCCCAAGAGUUCAUAUCGACGGCGGUGUUUGGCACCUCGAUGUCGGCUCAUCACAUCCUGGGGCUGAAGUAGGUCCCAAGGGUAUGGCUGUUCGCCAUUUAAAGUGGUACGCGAGCUGGGUUUAGAACGUCGUGAGACAGUUCGGUCCCUAUCUGCCGUGGGCGCUGGAGAACUGAGGGGGGCUGCUCCUAGUACGAGAGGACCGGAGUGGACGCAUCACUGGUGUUCGGGUUGUCAUGCCAAUGGCACUGCCCGGUAGCUAAAUGCGGAAGAGAUAAGUGCUGAAAGCAUCUAAGCACGAAACUUGCCCCGAGAUGAGUUCUCCCUGACUCCUUGAGAGUCCUGAAGGAACGUUGAAGACGACGACGUUGAUAGGCCGGGUGUGUAAGCGCAGCGAUGCGUUGAGCUAACCGGUACUAAUGAACCGUGAGGCUUAACCUUACAACGCCGAAG